UAUGUCAAUGUCUCUCGAAACAUCAUCGAAAAUAUGAAACUCCUAUGGAAAUGCUUUCGUUGAGUCAAUUUUAUGCAGUUUUUCCUCGAACUUUUAGAUUCGGAGAUAUGACCUGAGAACAUGACCGUUGAUAGGACGGUGAAGGUCUAAGUAUUUAGAGUAUAAGGUUUGUAGGUUGGCAAGCAUAUUUCUUUUCCAUACUAGAAGUACUACUACUACUAUUAUUUUUUAGGUCCUUAUACUUUUGGCUUCGUUUAUCUUAUUAUCUUGUUCAUGUUACUGUCUGUUAUUACAACUUUUUUUUUUGCAUCUAUGUUCGACUUGAGGGUCUAUCGGAAUCAGUCUCUCUACCAUCACAAAGUAGGGAUAAUAUUUGUAUACAUGCUAUUCUUCCCAGAUCCCACUUAUAAUAUAAGAUUGUACUGCAUAUCAGAUUCUAAUUUAUUUUUUCUAAUUAAAGUGAUGAUGGGAACAAAACUUAUAUACCAACUACAUGGCAAAUUGUGUUUGAUCUUCAACAAGUGAAGGAUUCAUCAAAUUAUACACUUGAACUAGCAUUAGCCUCAGCAAAUGAAGCUGAAUUACAAAUUCAAAUAAACGAUCAAUAUGCAGACGUUCCUCAUUUUUCAACAGGAUCGAUAGGCAGGGAUAACAUGAUUGCAAGACAUGGAAUUCAUGGAUUAUAUCGGAUGUAUACUGUAGAUAUACCGAGCAAUUUUCUCGCGAGCGGUACUAAUGUUAUAUUUCUUAAGCAAAGUAGAGGUUCGAGCCAUUGGAGUGGAGUCAUGUAUGAUUAUAUUCGUCUUGAAGGACCCCCUUCGAACGAUUAAAUAAUUUAAUAUGGUGGAUUAUUGCAAAUUAAAAGGAAUAUAAGUACAAUUAUAAGUUUGAUUUUGCAUAGUCUUUGAAUGAUUAAAUAAUCGAAUAUGGUGGAUUGUUGCAAA